CUCUUUGUUCUGUAAACUGACUGCUUGAGGCUCGAAAGCUUGGGAUGCAAACAGGAUUAGAUACCCUGGUAGUCCACGCCGUAAACGAUGAGUGCUAAGUGUUAGAGGGUUUCCGCCCUUUAGUGCUGCAGCUAACGCAUUAAGCACUCCGCCUGGGGAGUACGUCCGCAAGGCUGAAACUCAAAGGAAUUGACGGGGGCCCGCACAAGCGGUGGAGCAUGUGGUUUAAUUCGAAGCAACUGCGAAGAACCUUACCAGGUCUUGACAUCCUCUGACAACCCUAGAGAUAGGGCGUUCCCCUUCGGGGGACAGAGUGACAGGUGGUGCAUGGUUGUCGUCAGCUCGUGUCGUGAGAUGUUGGGUUAAGUCCCGCAACGAGCGCAACCCUUGACCUUAGUUGCCAGCAUUCAGUUGGGCACUCUAAGGUGACUGCCGGUGACAAACCGGAGGAAGGUGGGGAUGACGUCAAAUCAUCAUGCCCCUUAUGACCUGGGCUACACACGUGCUACAAUGGACGGUACAAAGGGCUGCAAAACUGCAAAGUCGAGCCAAUCCCAUAAAACCGUUCUCAGUUCGGUAUUGCAGGCUGCAACUCGCCUGUCAUGAGAGCUGGAAUCGUACUAGUAAUGCG
rnacentral:rRNA from 1 species